rnacentral:sRNA from 1 species
UCCUAGGUUCUGGAAUUAAAGGCGUAUGCCACUACCUCCCGGUGUCAGUAUCCUUUGCAAUACACACAUUAACAUGCAUGAAGAACAGGUAUCCGACCUGACUUGUGCAUUUUGUUUAACGUCAUCUGACACUAGUCGCUAUAGGAUGCAAUGCCCUAUAAUACCUUACUGUGAAGAUAAAGCUGUGGACAGGACAGGAUUAACCGUCCUUCCCGCAGGAGGUAGUUAAAAGUGGAAGGCAGCUCGGUCCAUAAAGUGCUUGUCUUGCAAGCACAAGGACCUGAGUUCAAUCCUACAGGCCAUUAAAAAAAAAAAAGAUAGUGGUAGGGAGAGGCUGGGGGAGGGCACAGGAGAGAGGGCAAAGUGUGGAUCUGGGAAAGGUAGAGAGAGAGAGGAAUCCAUUAAAUAUCUAGCCAGUUUGACCUAAUGGAGGAGGAGUUCCAAAGAAAGAACCCUUAAAAGCCAACAACAACAAACAAAAAUUUAAGACUGACUGAGGAAAAACACGUAACUAUAUCCUCUGACUUCAACACACACACACACACACACACACACACACACACACACACACACACUUGCAGGCAUGCAGGCACACUAAGGUAGGCACGCAGGCAUACUGUCUAAGACUAAUUUCAUUCCUCCCUACUUUUAAGAAUUCUACCUAAAGGCCACCCACUAUGUGCUAGUCACAUAUUCUAUGACUUCACCUAAAGGUCACCCACUAUGUGCUAGUCACAUAUUCUAUGACUUCGUCUCACCUGACUCUACAGUCUUCAUAUUCCUACCGUUAUAAUAUAACUUGCCUCAACUUUAAAGAAGCCUCAAAGUAACUAUCUUGAAAACAUUUUUAAAAAAAAAAAAAUGAAGCAAAAUUAAAACAAAGAAGAAGAAAAAAACACUUGGGAGCAAACUACUCUUUCUCACACCCAGGGGAAUGGUCUCAAGUUCAUCCAGUAGCACUGCCUAGCAGAGUGAAGCACAAUGAUAAAGUUCCCUUUUGAAAGAGAAUUAUCUGGAAGGAGAGAUCUUCUCGGAGCUCCACUUGGGCAGGACAGAACAAACUCUUCACUCAUUUCGAUUUGGGAAUACAAUAGGCAGUUCAUUCAGAAUUUAAAAAUAAAUAAACGAUACAUAUUCUCAAGACUUUUAAGGUCAAGAGUUGAUGAAGUAGCCACCAGGCAGGAGGGUUGUGCAUCCAAGUAUGACUACAUACUGUGAACUUGUCUUGCAAAUAACAGCAAAACAAUCAAGAACUGGAAAAUAGUAACAAUUAUUUCAAAACCUCAGCUUUAAAAUUGUUAGCUCAGUGGGUAAAGAGUUCAGAUCUCCAUGUCAACCAGACACAGAAGCACAUGUCUAUAUUCCCAGUCCUUCUGGAGUACAGUGAAGGCACAGCUGGGAGAAUCCCUGAAUGCUUUCGUCAGCUAGCCUGGUAUGCACGUUGGAGAAGAAGAGACCAUCCCCCCCAAAGUAGGAGACAAGCAUUCACACUCAAGGUGUCCCCGGACCUCCAGUGUGUACAUUGUGGGACAUGCAGGUGUGGCUACUCUAGACCGGGGAACAUGCAUACGUACUUAAGAGUAAUAAUGCCCCAAAACCUGAAACACCAUCAUAUAAUUGAAUUAAUGACUGCUGACAUUCUUAAUCCUAGAAGGAAUUUUAAGAGAUCCAACCCAAACUGGUUAAUCUUUCAAAUGCAAAGAUGGCCUCUGAGAAAUCCCCACCCCUGGUUGUCAUCGCUGCUAAUCAGCAGUGAGCAGAUCUCUUUCAGGUUAGACACCUUGGUUGUGUGCUGUAUUUCACUAACUAGCCUUCAAGCCCGGGCCACAAUUUCUAUUCCUCUUGCCCACUAAGUCUAUUCCUACCAUUCCAAUUUAAUUCAACAUGUGAUAAUUAUGAAAUAGUGUGUUUGUAAAACAAAGGCCAGCUUCACUAGUUUGUGGCCAUACAGGACUUAAUUUUAUACCUAGGAGCUGACAUAGGAGCAGACAUAUUUUAAUGUAUAUAAAUACAAAUAUCAUUUUGAAUUAUAGUUUAUAAAUCACAAAAGCAGUCUCCCUAAAGGCUUUCUGUUAAGCUUCAAACCAGGACAAAGGGUUCAGGUGCCUAUUUAACAUAUCAAAGUGGAUGCUGGCCAACAGGUCCCUCAGCCCUAACUGUUACAGGGACCUCCUGGCUGGCAUACCUGGGUCCCCUACCCUUAACUCUCCAACCCAAGGGUCUGGGGCACCCUUCCAUAUAUAAUCCAACCAUUUUGGUUGCCUGCUUUCCUCAGACUUUGGGCCUCCUGGCUGCUGUACCUUGUCCCUUGCUCUCCCCUCUCCCUCCUCACAAGAGGGCACAGUUCAGGGUCACAUCCACUCUAGACGAUCCCAGCAGACCUUGUCUCUGGCUAUGCUCUCCCACAGAUCUCUAAUUAACCCUCCUCCACCAUAGCUAGGAGCAGGCAUGCUCCUCUCUCCCUUCCCUGUGUAUUUUUUCCUGUCUACUUUUGAAGAACACACGAGUCACAAAAUGUGCACUCACUGGUAAAACUGUGGCCUCGAUCUGACAAGGCCACUUCUGCUAACAGAUCACCAUGGAACAACAGCCAGUCUCAGCCAAGUCAGGAGGGACAACCUUUCCUUCUACCCAGGAGUGAAGAACGAGAAACAGUUGUCCAAAGACUUAAGGGAGUAAGGGAAGAUUUCUCUUAUGAAUUAUGUCAUGGACGUAACACACAGUAUCAAAUUAAGAUAUAUACCAAUAUCUGUCUUGAGUGACAUUAUCAUUCUUCUGACUAAAUGACAGCCUUUCAGCCAAUGUCCUUCAGGAGUGAUUCAGAGCUUCCUGAGAAUAAAAGGAAAACCGAAUGGGAAGGGAGGGCAAACUCCUGCUUGUCACUCAAAAACCAAGUGGAUUUCAUGACUAAUGGGGCUGUCUGGCUGGUUACUCAGCCAAUUUCCUUCCUUAUUGUCCUCAGUUUCUUGUGGCGAAUGCUCUGCACUCUGCUCUGAGCUAAGUGGACAGUACAUACACCACCCCUCUAGGCUUGCACCAUAACUCAUAAUCCUUCACAUUCUCCCCCUCUCACAGGGCUUGACACAGAUCAACAUGUGAGGCCUUCAUGUGUCAACAUGUUAAGAUGCUGGAACCAUGGAUGGAAGAGGCCCAGAGACCCACUCCAGUGACCGGAGGAUCACUGACCAAUCACGAAUCAAACUACCUCAGUUAUCGAGCAAUCAGAUGAAGACUUCAUAAAUUAACACUUGCCUGAUAGGAAACAACUAUUGGAUCGGUAAUUCCAUGUGGGUUGAGACUAAAUGACAGAGGAGUAGUCUAACUUCCCUGUUUGUGAACACAGAAGAUGUUCAUACAGUCAAGCAAGGAGCUUCUAAGGUAGCCUACCAAAAGGAAUUUUUAUUGUAUUUCCAUCAGGAAGGAAGAAAAUAUCCCUGCCAGAUGACAGCAGCUUACUGAAAUGAGCCUCCCCAUGCUAAACAACCCCCCUAUUCCUUUUCUGUUAUUAAAUCUUCCCUGGGUUUGCUUCUGA